ensembl:lncRNA
CAGAUCUGAAUGUUUACAUUAAUGAAUAAAAACCUGACAUGUGCUCAAGCUUGUCAGGUGGUCACGAGUUUGAAUCCCAGUGAUGCCACUGAGGUUAAAAAAAGAAUUAUUCUGGGUAACUUUUUGACGAACACCAGUCCAGAUAGGUGGUGAACCUGAAUCCCUAUCACUGAUUGGUAGAUUUUAGUCUCUGGUAAACACAUACAGAGUGAUUGCAUUUGGGUUGAUUCUGAUUGAGUGAUUUUGGGAUUCAGGUUCUUGAAGACUGAUUCUAAUUGGUUGGUUUUGGGGUUCGGUUCUCAUAGACUGAUUCUGAUUGGUUAAAUUUGGGGCUCAGGUUCUCAUAGAUGGAUUCUGAUUGGUUUGUUUCGGGGUUUGGGUUUUUGAAGACUGAUUCUGAUUGGUUAAUUUUGGUGUUAUGAUUCUUGAAGACUGAUUCUGAUGGGUUGAUUUGGGGGUUCAGGUUCUCAUAGACUGAUUCUGAUUGGUUGGUUUUGGGAUACAUGUUCUCAUAGACUGAUUCUGAUUGGUUGGUUUUGGGGUUCGGGUUUUUAAAGGCUGAUUCUGCUUGGUUGAUUUUGGGGUUCGGAUUCUUGAAGGUUGAUUCUGAUUGGUUAGUCUGGGGGUAUGAGUUCUUGAAGACUGAUUCUGUUUGGUUGAUUUUGGGGUUCUGGUUCUCAUAGAUGGAUUCUGAUUGGUUGAUUUUGGGGCUCGGGUUCUUAUAGAUGGAUUCUGAUUGGUUGAUUUUGGGUUUCAGGUUCUCAUAGACUGAUUCUAAUUGGUUGGUUUUGGGAUACAUGUUCUCAUGGACUGAUUCUGAUUGGUUGGUUUUGGGGUUCGGGUUCUGGUAGACUGAUUCUGAUUGGUUGGAAUAUUUUUCUGAUUGGACGUUUUCAUAUUCAUGUAUCUGAAAGUAGUAAAAAAUUGUGGUGUUAAAAGCUUUCAUUUUUUAUUUAAAUGGUUUAAUUGAAUACAUCUUAUGAGAACUAGGGUUAGCUCUAUUCAUAAUCAUGUUGUUUU